GGCGGCGUGCCUAAUACAUGCAAGUCGAACGGUCUUUCUAUGGAAGCUUGCUCCACUGAGAAGAUAGUGGCGAACGGGUGAGUAACACGUGGGUAACCUGCCAUAAGAGGGGGGAUAACAUCCGGAAAACGGGUGCUAAUACCGCAUAGUUUUCUUGAUCGCAUGAUCGGGAAAGGAAAGACGGCCUUUGUGCUGUCGCUUAUGGAUGGACCCGCGGCGUAUUAGUUAGUUGGUGAGGUAACGGCUCACCAAGACGAUGAUACGUAGCCGACCUGAGAGGGUGAUCGGCCACAUUGGGACUGAGACACGGCCCAAACUCCUACGGGAGGCAGCAGUAGGGAAUCUUCCGCAAUGGACGAAAGUCUGACGGAGCAACGCCGCGUGAGUGAAGAAAAGGGUUUUCGGAUCGUAAAACUCUGUUGUCAGAGAAGAACAAGUUGGAGAGUAACUGCUCCAGCCUUGACGGUAUCUGACCAGAAAGCCACGGCUAACUACGUGCCAGCCGCCGC
rnacentral:rRNA from 1 species